AGGAUUCCCCCAGUAACGGCGAGUGAAGUGGGAAAAGCUCAACUUUGAAAUCUGGCUGUUUUACAGUCCGAGUUGUAGUCUCGAGAAGUGUUUUCCGCGUUAAACCGUGUAUGAGUCUGUUGGAACACAGCGUCAUAGAGGGUGAGAACCCCGUUCAUGACACGGCUUUUAAUGCUUUGUGAUACACUUUCGAUGAGUCGAGUUGUUUGGGAAUGCAGCUCAAAUUGGGUGGUAAAUUCCAUCUAAAGCUAAAUAUUGGCGAGAGACCGAUAGCAAACAAGUACCGUGAGGGAAAGAUGAAAAGCACUUUGGAAAGAGAGUUAAAAGUACGUGAAAUUGUCGAAAGGGAAACGCUUGAAGUCAGACGUGCACGGGAUUUAUUCCUAUUGCAGGCCAACAUCGGUUUUACGAGCCGGAUAAAGGUACAAGGAAGGUAGCAGUUUCGGCUGUGUUAUAGCCUCGUACUGAAUACGGAUUGUGAGACCGAGGGACGCAGCGCGCCGCAAGGCAAAGGGUCCGCCCUUUUCGCGCUUAGGAUGUUGGUGAAAUGGCUUUAAUCGACCCGUCUUGAAACACGGACCA
rnacentral:rRNA from 1 species